rnacentral:rRNA from 1 species
GACGAACGCUGGCGGCGUGCCUAAUACAUGCAAGUAGAACGCACAGUUUAUACUGUAGCUUGCUACAACAUAGACUGUGAGUUGCGAACGGGUGAGUAACGCGUAGGUAACCUGCCUGGUAGCGGGGGAUAACUAUUGGAAACGAUAGCUAAUACCGCAUAAUAUUAAUUAUUGCAUGAUAAUUAAUUGAACAGUGCAAUUGCACCACUACCAGCUGGACCUGCGUUGUAUUAGCUAGUAGGUGAGGUAACGGCUCACCUAGGCGACGAUACAUAGCCGACCUGGGAGGGUGAUCGGCCACACUGGGACUGAGACACGGCCCAGACUCCUACGGGAAGCAGCAGUAGGGAAUCUUCGGCAAUGGACGAAAGUCUGACCGAACAACGCCGCGUGGGUGAAGAAGGUUUUCGGAUCGUAAAGCUCUGUUGUAAGAGAAGAACGGGUGGGAAGGUGGAAAGUUCACACUGUGACGGUAUCUUACCAGAAAGGGACGGCUAACUACGUG